UGGGGAAUUUUGGACAAUGGGCGAAAGCCUGAUCCAGCAAUGCCGCGUGUGUGAAGAAGGCCUUCGGGUUGUAAAGCACUUUUGUCCGGAAAGAAAUCCUUGGCUCUAAUACAGUCGGGGGAUGACGGUACCGGAAGAAUAAGCACCGGCUAACUACGUGCCAGCAGCCGCGGUAAUACGUAGGGUGCAAGCGUUAAUCGGAAUUACUGGGCGUAAAGCGUGCGCAGGCGGUUUGCUAAGACCGAUGUGAAAUCCCCGGGCUCAACCUGGGAACUGCAUUGGUGACUGGCAGGCUAGAGUAUGGCAGAGGGGGGUAGAAUUCCACGUGUAGCAGUGAAAUGCGUAGAGAUGUGGAGGAAUACCGAUGGCGAAGGCAGCCCCCUGGGCCAAUACUGACGCUCAUGCACGAAAGCGUGGGGAGCAAAACAGGAUUAGAUACCCUGGUAGUCCACGCCCUAAAACGAUGUCAACUAGUUGUUGGGGAUUCAUUUCCUUAGUAACGUAGCUAACGCGUUAAGUUCGCCGCCUGGGGAGUACGGUCGCAAGACUGAAACUCAAAGGAAUUGACGGGGUCAUAGCUGUUUCCU
rnacentral:rRNA from 1 species